rnacentral:tRNA from 1 species
GUUUAUAUAGUUUAAUUAAAACAUUAUAUUUUCAAUAUAAAAUUAGAACUUUUUCUUAUAAAUA